UAAUACGGAAGGGGCAAGCGUUGUUCGGAAUCAUUGGGCGUAAAGGGCGCGUAGGCGGUCUUGUGUGUCUGCUGUGAAAGCAUACGGCUCAACCGUAGAGGGUCGGUGGAAACUGCAAGACUCGAGGCUGGGAGGGGCUGGUGGAAUUCCCUGUGUAGCGGUGGAAUGCGUAGAUAUAGGGGAGAACACUCGUGGCGAAGGCGGCCAGCUAGACCAGUCCUGACGCUGAGGCGCGACAGCGUGGGGAGCAAACAG
rnacentral:rRNA from 1 species